AUCCUGGCUCAGAACGAACGCUGGCGGCGUGCUUAACACAUGCAAGUCGAACGCGAAAGUUUUCUUCGGAAGACGAGUAGAGUGGCGCACGGGUGAGUAACGCGUAAGUAAUCUGCCCUGGUAUCUGGGAUAACCCACCGAAAGGUGUGCUAAUACGGGAUACGCUGAUUUAUCAGGAAAGGUGGCCUCUUCAUGAAAGCUACUGUACCGGGAGGAGCUUGCGUACCAUUAGCUAGUUGGUAGGGUAAUGGCCUACCAAGGCGACGAUGGUUAGCGGGUCUGAGAGGAUGAUCAGCCACACUGGGACUGAGACACGGCCCAGACUCCUACGGGAGGCAGCAGUGGGGAAUCUUGCGCAAUGGGGGAAACCCUGACGCAGCCAUGCCGCGUGAAUGAUGAAGGUCUUAGGAUUGUAAAAUUCUUUCAGCGGGGACGAUAAUGACGGUACCCGCAGAAGAAGCUCCGGCUAACUUCGUGCCAGCAGCCGCGGUAAUACGAAGGGGGCUAGCGUUGCUCGGAAUUACUGGGCGUAAAGGGCGCGUAGGCGGACAGUUAAGUCAGAGGUGAAAGCCCAGGGCUCAACCCUGGAAUUGCCUUUGAUACUGGCUGUCUUGAGUAUGGGAGAGGUAAGCGGAACUCCGAGUGUAGAGGUGAAAUUCGUAGAUAUUCGGAAGAACACCAGUGGCGAAGGCGGCUUACUGGCCCAUUACUGACGCUGAGGCGCGAAAGCGUGGGGAGCAAACAGGAUUAGAUACCCUGGUAGUCCACGCCGUAAACUAUGAUCACUCGCUGUUGGCGAUAAAUUGUCAGUGGCUGAGCGAAAGCAUUAAGUGAUCCACCUGGGGAGUACGAUCGCAAGGUUGAAACUCAAAGGAAUUGACGGGGGCCCGCACAAGCGGUGGAUUAUGUGGAUUAAUUCGAUGCAACGCGAAAAACCUUACCUGGCCUUGACAUGCCACUAACGAAGCAGAGAUGCAUUAGGUGCUCGAAAGAGAAAGUGGACACAGGUGCUGCAUGGCUGUCGUCAGCUCGUGUCGUGAGAUGUUGGGUUAAGUCCCGCAACGAGCGCAACCCUUGCCAAUAAUUGCCAUCAUUUAGUUGGGCACUUUAUUGGGACUGCCGGUGACAAACCGGAGGAAGGUGGGGAUGACGUCAAGUCCUCAUGGCCCUUAUGGCCAGGGCUUCACACGUAAUACAAUGGUCGGUACAGAGGGUCGCCAACCCGCGAGGGGGAGCCAAUCCCAGAAAGCCGAUCGUAGUCCGGAUUGUUCUCUGCAACUCGAGAGCAUGAAGUCGGAAUCGCUAGUAAUCGCGGAUCAGCAUGUCGCGGUGAAUACGUUCCCGGGCCUUGUACACACCGCCCGUCACACCAUGGGAGUGGGUUUUACCAGAAGUAGGUAGUCUAACCGCAAGGGGGACGCUUACCACGGUAGUAUUCAUGACUGGGGUGAAGUCGUAACAAGGUAGCCGUAUCGGAAGGUGCGGCUGGAUCACCUCCUUUCU
rnacentral:rRNA from 1 species